AUUUGAUUUGGUUAAAGAGAAAAAUUACCUUAUUUUUUUAUACAAUAAUUAAAAAAGAAAAUGUAGAAAAUUUAAUUUAUUUAAUAAAAAAAUAUUAUUAAGAAUAAGGAGAAAAAUUCUAGCUAAAUUUGUGCCAGCAGCAGCGGUUAGACAAAUAGAGAUUUCUUUUUUUAAUAAUUUAAAAGUUUAAAUUAAAAUAUUAUAAAAAAAAAAGGUGAAAUUUAUUUUUUAUUAAAUUUAAAAAUAAAAAAAAUAAAAAUUCUUAUUAUAAACUAGGAUUAGAUACCCUAUUAUUAAGAACAAAAAAUUGUAAGUAAAUAAUAAUUACGAAAGCAAAAAAUUAUGGCGGUAUUUUAAGCUUUUCAGAGGAAUUUGCUCUGUAAUGGAUAAAACACCUAAAUCUUACUUAAAUUAGUUAGAAUUCAGUUUGUAUACCACUAUUAAAAUAAUAAUUUACUAUUAUUAUUAAUAUUCUUUUAUUAAGAAAAAAGUUAAGUCAAGGUGCAGCAAAAAUUUAAGAAUGAAGUGAAUUACAUUUCUUAAAAGAAAAAAAAAUUGAAAUUAAAAUUUAGGAUUUGAUAGUAAAAUUAAAAUAAAAAGUUAAUUUGAAUUAAGCUCUAAGAUAUGUACAUAUCGCCCGUCACUCUUUUAUAAGAUAAGUCGUAACAAAGUUAAAAUACUGGAAAGUGUUUUA
rnacentral:ncRNA from 1 species